UAAAGGCAUGGUCCCGACCUUACUAUCAGCUCUAACCCAACUUACACAUGCAAGUCUCCGCACCCCAGUGAGUACGCCCUUAACCCCCUCCCGGGGGUAAGGAGCAGGCAUCAGGCACAAAUAUUUAGCCCAAGACGCCCAGCCUAGCCACACCCCCAAGGGAAUUCAGCAGUGAUAAACAUUAAGCCAUAAGUGAAAACUUGACUCAGUUAGCGUUAAGAGGGCCGGUAAAACUCGUGCCAGCCACCGCGGUUAGACGAGAGGCCCUAGUUGAUAUUAUAACGGCGUAAAGGGUGGUUAAGGAUAAAUAAUAAUAAAGCCAAAUGGCCCCUUGGCCGUCAUACGCUUCUAGGUGUCCGAGGCCCUAUAUACGAAAGUAGCUUUAAUUGACCCACCUGACCCCACGAAAACUGAGAAACAAACUGGGAUUAGAUACCCCACUAUGCUCAGUCGUAAACUUAGACAUCCAACUACAAUUAGAUGUCCGCCAGGGUACUACGAGCAUUAGCUUAAAACCCAAAGGACCUGACGGUGUCUCAGAUCCCCCUAGAGGAGCCUGUUCUAGAACCGAUAACCCCCGUUUAACCUCACCACUUCUAGCCACCCCAGCCUAUAUACCGCCGUCGUCAGCUUACCCUGUGAAGGAAACAAAAGUAAGCAAAAUGGGCACAACCCAGAACGUCAGGUCGAGGUGUAGCGCAUGAAAUGGAAAGAAAUGGGCUACAUUUUCUGUAACAGAAUAUUACGAACAUGCACCAUGAAACAGUGCUUGAAGGAGGAUUUAGUAGUAAAAGGGAAAUAGAGUGUCCCUUUGAACCCGGCUCUGAGACGCGUACACACCGCCCGUCACUCUCCCCGUCAAAACGCACCAAAAUACCUAAUACAAUAGCACUGACAAGGGGAGGCAAGUCGUAACACGGUAAGUGUACCGGAAGGUGCACUUGGAUCAAACC
rnacentral:ncRNA from 1 species